ensembl:snRNA U6 U6 spliceosomal RNA
UUUAAAUUAUGACCCUCUUUAAAAUAAACUAGAAUUGGAAUGAUACAGAGAAGAUAAGCAUGGCCCCAUGACACGCAAAUUCAUGAAGCAUUCCGUAUUUAA